AGAGUUUGAUCCUGGCUCAGGACGAACGCUGGCGGCGUGCUUAACACAUGCAAGUCGAACGGAAAGGCCCUUCGGGGUACUCGAGUGGCGAACGGGUGAGUAACACGUGGGUGAUCUGCCCUGCACUUUGGGAUAAGCCUGGGAAACUGGGUCUAAUACCGAAUAUGACCAUGCACUUCCUGGUGUGUGGUGGAAGGCUUUUGCGGUGUGGGAUGGGCCCGCGGCCUAUCAGCUUGUUGGUGGGGUAAUGGCCUCCCAAGGCGACGACGGGUAGCCGGCCUGAGAGGGUGACCGGCCACACUGGGACUGAGAUACGGCCCAGACUCCUACGGGAGGCAGCAGUGGGGAAUAUUGCACAAUGGGCGCAAGCCUGAUGCAGCGACGCCGCGUGAGGGAUGACGGCCUUCGGGUUGUAAACCUCUUUCAGCACAGACGAAGCGCAAGUGACGGUAUGUGCAGAAGAAGGACCGGCCAACUACGUGCCAGCAGCCGCGGUAAUACGUAGGGUCCGAGCGUUGUCCGGAAUUACUGGGCGUAAAGAGCUCGUAGGUGGUUUGUCGCGUUGUUCGUGAAAACUCACAGCUUAACUGUGGGCGUGCGGGCGAUACGGGCAGACUUGAGUACUGCAGUGGAGACUGGAAUUCCUGGUGUAGCGGUGGAAUGCGCAGAUAUCAGGAGGAACACCGGUGGCGAAGGCGGGUCUCUGGGCAGUAACUGACGCUGAGGAGCGAAAGCGUGGGGAGCGAACAGGAUUAGAUACCCUGGUAGUCC
rnacentral:rRNA from 1 species